GCGAACGCUGGCGGCAGGCUUAACACAUGCAAGUCGAGCGCCCCGCAAGGGGAGCGGCAGACGGGAGAGUAACACGUGGGAACGUACCUUUCAGUUCGGGACAACCAAGGGAAACUUUGGCUAAUACCGGAUACGCCCGUAAGGGGAAAGAUUCAUCGCUGAAGGAUCGGCCCGCGUCUGAUUAGCUAGUUGGUGAGGUAACGGCUCACCAAGGCGACGAUCAGUAGCUGGUCUGAGAGGAUGAUCAGCCUCACUGGGACUGAGACACGGUCCAGACUCCUACGGGAGGCAGCAGUGGGGAAUAUUGGACAAUGGGCGCAAGCCUGAUCCAGCCAUGCCGCGUGGAUGAUGAAGGCCUUAGGGUUGUAAAGUCCUUUUAACGGGGAAGAUAAUGACGGUACCCGUAGAAUAAGCCCCGGCUAACUUCGU
rnacentral:rRNA from 1 species